AGUGGGCCAUGAAGCAAAAGGAGCGAGCUACAGGAGUGCCGUGAGCUCUGAGACCUGAGAUGUGAGAUGAGUACAGCUUCAGCAAUGUGGUUGACUAAAGAAGACCUGCUCAAAGACAACAUCAAUUUACAUGGCAACAUGAAGGACUAAAGUCAAUCAGUGGCUGCUGGGAGAGGAAGAACCAGUCUUCUGCAGGGACAAGCUCUCUGAUAGAAACUGCCAAGACCAUCUGAACUUGAAAGCCUUUAUUGCUCAAGCUGUCUAAUAAAUAUAAUGGACUGAAUAGAUUAAGCAACACACAGUAA